GGUUGCAAGUCUGAAGCCAUAACAGAAGUAUUCACUGUGCAGCCCUGUCAGAUUCCAAUGAAUCUGCAAGUUCUGCU
rnacentral:ribozyme from 1 species